UGCAUAUCCCAAAAGCGGAGGAAAAGAAACCAACAGGAUUGCCCUAGUAACGGCGAGUGAAGCGGCAACAGCUCAAAUUUGAAAUCUGGCUCUUUCAGAGUCCGAGUUGUAAUUUGCAGAGGGCGCUUUGGCUUUGGCAGCGGUCCAAGUUCCUUGGAACAGGACGUCACAGAGGGUGAGAAUCCCGUACGUGGUCGCUAGCUAUUGCCGUGUAAAGCCCCUUCGACGAGUCGAGUUGUUUGGGAAUGCAGCUCUAAAUGGGAGGUAAAUUUCUUCUAAAGCUAAAUAUUGGCCAGAGACCGAUAGCGCACAAGUAGAGUGAUCGAAAGAUGAAAAGCACUUUGGAAAGAGAGUCAAACAGCACGUGAAAUUGUUGAAAGGGAAGCGCUUGCAGCCAGACUUGCUUGCAGUUGCUCAUCCGGGCUUUUGCCCGGUGCACUCUUCUGCAGGCAGGCCAGCAUCAGUUUGGGCGGUGGGAUAAAGGUCUCUGUCAUGUACCUCUCUUCGGGGAGGCCUUAUAGGGGAGGCGACAUACCACCAGCCUAGACUGAGGUCCGCGCAUCUGCUAGGAUGCUGGCGUAAUGGCUGUAAGCGGCCCGUCUUGAAACCCGGACCA
rnacentral:rRNA from 1 species